GAUGAAGAACGGAGCGAAAUGCGAUAACUAAUGUGAAUUGCAGAAUUCAGUGAAUCAUCGAGUCUUUGAACGCACAUUGCGCCCCCUGGUAUUCCGGGGGGCAUGCCUGUCCGAGCGUCAUUGCUGCCCUCAAGCACGGCUUGUGUGUUGGGCUCCGUCCCCCCGGGGACGGGCCCGAAAGGCAGCGGCGGCACCGAGUCCGGUCCUCGAGCGUAUGGGGCUUUGUCACCCGCUCUGUAGGCCCGGCCGGCGCCAGCCGACAACCCAUCAUCCUUUUCAGGUUGACCUCGGAUCAGGUAGGGAUACCCGCUGAACUUAAGCAUAUCAAUAAGCGGAGGA
rnacentral:misc_RNA from 1 species